rnacentral:lncRNA from 1 species
CUGUAACUCGCCCUUCUUAGCUCUCUUUGGUCAAAAUCGUGCCCAGUUUUCUUGUCUAUCUUGUUGACAAGUGCAGACUCUAUCACUGUCCCCAGUUGUGCCAAAUCCAUGAUAGUUAUCACCUACUUUGUUUUACCCCAUCAGGUGCUCUGGUGGUGAAUAUAAAGACAGUCCCCUGAGAAACCAGGGUUUUAAAUUCCCGCUGUGAGACGUCUAUGUGUAUCCCUGUGACAAACUUGAUUUUGCCCUCUUCUUGUUUUGUUUCUACAGGGUUUGUUGGAGUUCAGGGUUGUCGCUGAGUGGUGGAAAUAUUGUUCUCAACCAAAAAAAAAAAAAAAAAUGUGGGGAUUACAUGCCAGUACCAUCCACCCCUGCAUUAGAAGUUUUCAUCGAAGAGCUUCAUUUCACAAGGUCUUUGAUGGAACAACAGAAGAGACAGGGCUCAUCUGACUGAUCCAAGGAGCAAGGACACCCAGGACUUAUCUUUAGAUCUCACCUCACCUGCCUGAGCAAGCCAGUGAGAAUGGGAUGUAAGGAGUCAGCUCUAGAGGUCUAAAGAAUCAUCUAACAGGGAAAGCUGAAUGUAUGGACAUUCUGCGGUCUUCUGCCACCCAGAAGUACAGGGCAAGAUGUCCAGAAUGUGGAUCCUAUCUCUGACCUUAUCCCAUUUUUUCAGUUAUUCUCAGCAGUCACUUUUUUGCUUGUAAGUAUAGAGACGCUCACCUUACUCAUAAUACAAUCUAAAGAUCUUCCAUGACCUCUCUGACCUGCAGGAUCUCCCUCUAAUGCCUCUCUUACCCUUCCCUUCUCUUGAGCUUUGCUUGACAUUCCUGGUAUCUCUGCCAAGGCCACUCUCCUCCCUGAGUACUGCUUGGCUCACUCCUUCAUUUAACUUUCACUUUGACUCAAGUUACCAUGUUUUCAGAGAUAUUUACAUAUACUUCACAAGUAUUCCUACUUAUGAUGGUUUUUUGUGUAUCAACUUGACAGGGCAAAGGGAUGUCUAGAUAGCUGGUAAAACAUUGUUUCUGGUUAUGUUUGUGAGAGUGUUUCUGGAAGACGUUAGCAUUUGAAUGACUAGACAGAGCACAGAAGAUCCACCUUCACCAAUGUGGGUGACCAUCAUCUAAUCCCUUGAGGGCUAGAAUAGGACGACGACAACAACAACAACAACAAAAGAAACCACAGCAAAUUUACUCUUUCUGUUUGACUCGGACACUCUGUCUCCUCCAGCUUGGGGACACUGGUGCUCCUGGUUCUCAGGCCUUUGAAGCCAAACCAGCAGGGUUUACAACAUUAGCUCCCCUGGUUUUUGGACCUUUGGACUUAGGCUGAAUUAUGGCAGUGGCUUUCCUGGUUCUCCACUUGGGGAUGGCAGAUCAUGGGACUUCUUGGCCUCCAUAAUUAAGUGAGCCAAUUCCCAAGCUGAAGAAUAAAAUUCAAUAGAAAAACUUGACUUUUGCACCAUUUUAUUUUGGCAGCCAUUCUCAGACAUAAUCUCAUUUUAUCCUCUUUCUUCAACAAAUUCCUCCUCUGAUGCUGCUGAAUACUUAUUUUCACAAUGAUACUAUAGAGAAAGGAGUCACCUCAGAGCAUCCAUUCAGCCAAUCUUUAUUCUUCACUUUUUUCAUUCCCAGGCCAAACCUUCAAUCUAUUCUCUGAUUCAGCUCAGAGGAAGGCAGGCAUGUGUUUACCUGCAGCUGAGAGUCAAGCAGGAAGCAGGGCAGUUGAACUGCCUCCCUGUUGUUACACCUGAGCUCUUUCUACACUGGGUACUAUAUGGAAUGAUUCAUUUGAAUGGGUAUUUUCCCGUGGUAUUGACUGACAUCUACACCAUUAGUGUGCUCAAUGAUGACAUAGAACUAAUUUAUAUAUAACUUGAUAGUGUGUUCUUCCAACCUCCUUGCUCAGCAGAAAAUUUUAGGCUAAUUCUUCUUAGUUCCAUUUUGGUGUUAAAGGAAGUCUUGGGCAGUCCACUAGUGCUUCCAUCUCCAAAGAAGAUAUUCAAGGCAAAGUUUAUGUUUCUGCGUGAGUAGGUGAGGGCUUACAUUGGUCCAAACCGUCAUAUUUGUGGUUAUUCAUGGAAGAAAGUUUUGCUGGGGUUGGUGGUUUGUUACAUCCCCAGGAGCAGAGUUGAACAUCAUUUCAAAGUGGACACUUCAUGAGUAAUGGGCUUCCCACUGUUGGUGGAUAAGUUCCUCUGGAGGGCAAUGAGGGGAACCAUCUGUAGUGAGGCAGCUUCCUAAUCAUUGUCAUUCUUUACCUCAGAGAUGGAGGUUUAUCUUGUCCUUAUACUGUUAUCUCCCCAGUCUCUGUGCAACUACAUGUCUCCUUCUUUGGCCUCUGUCAUUUAUCAGUCUCUGCAAAGGGAGGCUUGUAUCUUCCUAUCUAAGCAGUUUGCAGAGCAUUUGUCAUUGUUUCCACAGUGAGUCACUACCCACUGUAUAUAUGUAGAAGAGAAGGAAUGGACCCUUAGGAUAUAAUUGAAAUAAUUUAGUGGGUGUGGGGGACAAGCUGUUUGAUUCUGGAGAAUACUUUAUAUGAAUAAUUUUAGUAAUGGAAGAUGUUGUUCUCAGAGUCAAAAUUAGAGUGGUUUAGACUCUGAUGAGCCUAACAAAGUGACAUUACUGUGAAGUCCCAUCCAGUACAGUAGGAUCCCAUCUAAUACUGAGUUCAUGGAAAGCUCUCAACAGAUGAAGGCAUCAUGCCAAUUGGUCAAGUCAAGAAACACUACCUGGAGAAUUACUGUUUACCUAGAAUUGUUUCUGUUUGAAGAGAUGAUUUAAAACAUAAUAUAGAGCCAGACGUGAUGGUCCACACCUAUAGACUCAGCUGCUCAGGAGGCUGAGCCAGAAGGAUCCUGUAAGCCCAAAAGUUUGAGGCUGUAGUGCGCCCUAUGAUGCCAUAAAUGGAAACUUCCAUGACCUGACACCUUUGCUUUCUGAUGGUUCAAUGUACAUAAACUCUGUUUCAUAAAUACAAUUAUUGAAAAUAUUGUAUAUAAUUACUGUUAAGG